rnacentral:rRNA from 1 species
UACGUAGGGUGCGAGCGUUAAUCGGAAUUACUGGGCGUAAAGCGCGCGCAGGCGGUCCUUUAAGUCUGAUGUGAAAGCCCACGGCUCAACCGUGGAGGGUCAUUGGAAACUGGGGGACUUGAGUACAGAAGAGAAGAGUGGAAUUCCACGUGUAGCGGUGAAAUGCGUAGAUAUCUGGAGGAACACCGGUGGCGAAGGCGGCAUCCUGGACCGAGAUUGACGCUGAGGCGCGAAAGCCAGGGGAGCAAACGGG